rnacentral:rRNA from 1 species
CCUACGGGAGGCAGCAGUGGGGAAUAUUGGACAAUGGGGGGAACCCUGAUCCAGCGACGCCGCGUGAGUGAAGAAGUAUUUCGGUAUGUAAAGCUCUAUCAGCAGGGAAGAAAGAAAUGACGGUACCUGACUAAGAAGCCCCGGCUAACUACGUGCCAGCAGCCGCGGUAAUACGUAGGGGGCAAGCGUUAUCCGGAUUUACUGGGGGUAAAGGGAGCGUAGACGGCGAUGCAAGUCUGAAGUGAAAGGCGGGGGCCCAACCUGCGAAUUGCAUUUGAAACUGUUUUUCUUGAGUACUGGAGAGGCAGACGGAAUUCCGUGUGUAGCGGUGAAAUGCGUAGAGAUAAGGAGGAACACCAGUGGCGAAGGCGGUCUGCUGGACAGCAACUGACGGUGAGGCGCGAAAGCGUGGGGAGCAAACAGGAUUAGAUACCCGUGUAGUC